UACAGAGGUGGCAAGCGUUGUUCGGAAUUACUGGGCGUAAAGGGCGAGUAGGUGGCCAUCUAAGUCAGACGUGAAAUCCCCCGGCUUAACCUGGGAACUGCGUCUGAUACUGGCGGGCUUGAAUCCGGGAGAGGGAUGUGGAAUUCCAGGUGUAGCGGUGAAAUGCGUAGAUAUCUGGAGGAACACCGGUGGCGAAGGCGGCAUCCUGGACCGGUAUUGACGCUGAGGCGCGAAAGCUAGGGGAGCAAACGGG
rnacentral:rRNA from 1 species